rnacentral:rRNA from 1 species
AUUGAACGCUGGCGGCAUGCCUUACACAUGCAAGUCGAACGGCAGCACGGGUGCUUGCCCCUGGUGGCGAGUGGCGAACGGGUGAGUAAUACAUCGGAACAUGUCCUGUAGUGGGGGAUAGCCCGGCGAAAGCCGGAUUAAUACCGCAUACGAUCUACGGAUGAAAGCGGGGGACCUUCGGGCCUCGCGCUAUAGGGUUGGCCGAUGGCUGAUUAGCUAGUUGGUGGGGUAAAGGCCUGCCAAGGCGACGAUCAGUAGCUGGUCUGAGAGGACGACCAGCCACACUGGGACUGAGACACGGCCCAGACUCCUACGGGAGGCAGCAGUGGGGAAUUUUGGACAAUGGGCGAAAGCCUGAUCCAGCAAUGCCGCGUGUGUGAAGAAGGCCUUCGGGUUGUAAAGCACUUUUGUCCGGAAAGGAAUCCUUGGCUCUAAUACAGUCGGGGGAUGACGGUACCGGAAGAAUAAGCACCGGCUAACUACGUG